rnacentral:rRNA from 1 species
UACGUAGGGUGCAAGCGUUGUCCGGAAUUAUUGGGCGUAAAGAGCUCGUAGGCGGUCUGUCGCGUCGGAUGUGAAAAUCCAGGGCUCAACCCUGGACCUGCAUUCGAUACGGGCAGUCUAGAGUUCGGUAGGGGAGACUGGAAUUCCUGGUGUAGCGGUGAAAUGCGCAGAUAUCAGGAGGAACACCGGUGGCGAAGGCGGGUCUCUGGGCCGAAACUGACGCUGAGGAGCGAAAGCGUGGGGAGCAAACAGG